rnacentral:lncRNA from 1 species
AAAUAAUCCAGCUGACUGCUUACAGAUUUGCAGUUUUCUUUUGUUUUUUGUAUUGUUAGUUUGUGGAAUGUUGUUGGAAAAUUUUGGAUCUCUAUGCUCUUCAAUUUCCGGUCUUUUGUGUUGAGCGUGAUUCGACCGGUUUCCUCACGCUCCCCUGGAGGUUUUCCGAACAUUUGAGACACGUUGUGGUAACUACUCCAGUAAAUCCGCACUUAUAGCAGAAUAAGUUUCGCUGCAUGGAUGGACAUUCUUUAAAUAAAUGACCUGCUCAUCCCUAUAUUAUUUAUUGGUUUCUAUAAUGAGUUCGCGGAUUAAACCUGCAUAUGCUCUGGGACUAUGUCCUAUGGAGAUUCCUCUUUGUAAUUGGGGAAUUGGUGGCGGUGGCAUAUUAUAGUUUAUUAUGGUCUAGGAUUAUGAAUCUUUGGAAUUGCUCCUGUUGAUUGCCCUGAAUUUUCCUUACUGGGUUCGGUUUGGUUCUCUUAGCAAGUAUUGGGAGUUUUAAUUGUUUCGAACAUAUCUAUAAUAUCGCCUGCUUCUAUGUUUUCAGUUCCCGGAGGUGUUCUUUGAAUGGGCAUCGUGAAUACUAAUAUCUUUGAAUUCUAAUUUAUAAAUUUAUCAAUUUUUCCUAAUAGUUAUGAGACAAACGUUAAACACAAUAUAUUAACAUAUAAUACUAUACUAACUUAAUAAAAAAAUAAAAUUUUACAAAACA